rnacentral:lncRNA from 1 species
CAAAAUUAAAUAAUUAAAAAAAAUAUCAUCUUAUUUUUCAGAUCAUCUAUUGAAAGUGCCAUUAACAAAAAUUAAAGAAUUUCAUUCCCACUUAGAGGGACUACAUAGGAUUCCUCAGCAUCAACUCUCUGAUCAGGUAUGUACACCAAAGUCACUGACAGCAAUCAUACACACUCGUUGCUUUUCUUGCAGCAGCGUCGUCAUCCUUAGCAGUGUCAAUAAUUGUUGAGUUUGUUGCUUAAGGUAGUUAAAUUAGAACAUCUGGUGAUAGAUCAAUGAAAUUUUCUAUAAAGUUGCAUUACUGUCAGUACUUCUAAAUAAGAAGAUGUGGUAUGAGUGCCAAUAAAACAUCUCUCCAUCAAAGUUACAAUUUAUGAAAACCUUCACACUACCUAAGACAGUUGUGUAAUAUUACAACAUUAAAAGACACUCUAUGAACUAUCAAUUGAAAUUGCUUAAAUCAAUCAGAACUUAAAGUGCAAAGUCUUGGUGAAAAGUUGUGAUUAAAUUAUCAGAGACUAUCAAAGAUCUCUAACAUUAACAACAGAAAUUCUAUAGAAAAUAAGGAGUUGUCAAUCAAAAUUAUAUUUUUAUUUUAAUUUUUCAAUGAAUUUGAUUUAAUUUUAUGAUGAGCAAUACAGCUAAUUAGGAAUAAUUGAACUGUUCUGUCAUUGUAAACAAAUUUUGCCAUUAUACAAUGACAAAUUAUUCAUAGUCAAUAGCAGCAGUUGUAUUUUUCUUUCAGCUGACUUUAAGUUAUUUUAACAGUAAUGUGAUAGAUGUAAAAGGGUACAGCCAUGAAAACGAUCCAACAAGGUAAACAUAAAAUCAGUUUCUACAAUAUUUACAAAAUAUGGUUACUGUGCCUCGAUGUAGUAUCAAGUUUUAUAUUUGUAUAUGAGUUAUAUAAUUAUCUCCCUUUGAAACUUUUUCUGAACUUUUCAAUAUAAUGAGAUAUAUUGAUACUUUGAAUUCAGAAAUGAGGUUUUGAAUAAUGCAAUUGGGGGAGUAUCACAAUAGUAAUAACUAACAUUUUAAUAUCUGCUACAUAUAUCUGUAUGCAGCGUUUCCUGAAAUUGCAAUAAUCAAUGUUGCAUUUUUGUCCGUUCAUUUAAAAUUGCAAUAAUUAGGUCUUUCCACCUUUACGUGUGGAAAGACCUAUUGAUUUUGUUCUGAUUAUUUAUUUUUUUUUUUUUUUCUUCCGCCUAAUUUUUUCUUGCGGUGUAAAAAUGUUUCAAAAGAUAUCGCUUAGUUUUUAUACGCCCGUCAAAAUUUUGACGGGACGUAUUAUGAUAUACAAAUGUCCAGUGUCCGUCCGUCUGUCCGGCGUCAACACGUCGCACCGUAACUUGAGAACGACUUAUCCAAAUUUCAUGAAACUUAAUAUUAAUGUUUCUUAUGAUGGUCAAAUGAUCUGUAUACUUUUUGGUGAAAAUAAGAUUUAAACUUUUUGAGUUACGGCACUUUAUAACUAAAACAGGGGUGUGUUUUUUUCACAUGUCGCACUGUAUCUCAAAAACGAUUCUUGAUUAUGACUUAAAACUUUAAACACUUCUUAGUAUUUUAAUCUCAAUAUCUGUAUACUUUUUGGUGAUGAUUCAAAAUUUCAUUUUUGAGUUAUUGAGUAUUUUGUAAAAAAGGGGGAGGGUUUUUUUACAUGUCGCGCCAUAUCUCAAAAACUAUUUAUGAUUAUUGCUUAAAACUUUACACAUGUCUUUGUUAUAUUAAUCUCAAUAUCUGUAUACUUUUUGGUGAUGAUUCAAAAUUUCAUUUUUGAGUUAUUGAGUAUUUUGUAAAACGGCUUUUUACAUGUCGCGCCGUAUCUCAAAAAUAAGUUAUGAUUAUUGCUUAAAACUUUACUCACUUCUUUGAUAUAUUAAUCUAAAGAUCUGUAUACUUUUUGGUUUUGAUUCAAAAUUUUAUUUUGGUAAUAUUUAGUUUUUGUAAAAAAAAAAACAGGGUGGGGGGGUUUCACAUGUCCCGCCGUGUCUCUAAAACAAUAUAUGGUUAUUGCUUAAAACUUUCUCAUAAACUAUUUAUGAUUAUUGCAUAAGACUUCCACAUAAGACAUCGGGCGUAUCAUGCGCUCAUGGCGCAGCUGUUUAUUUUUGUAUAUGAGAUCAUACAGUCUAUACGCUUUUGAAACUCACCCUGUUUAACCAAACACUUUUCUUUGUAAGAGUUAUCUCCCCAAACACUGUUUUUCUUGUUAUCAGAUCUCCUCCGCAACUGUAAAAGAAAGCGACAAAUUUAUUUUUCAAAAUUGCUCGUUAUAUCCUCAGGAUGUUACGUUUUAUUUUGACCGAAGCUUUACGAAUACCCCAUAUGAGAGUAAUUUCCCCUUUUGUAUUGAAAUAAGUGAAAUAAAUUUGUAACUGGAAAACCAUAAGUGAUAGAGGCCUAGGGUCUUUUGAUUUGAGGCCCUUGGUCAAAAAGUAUGAAAAUGAGGUCAAGGUCAAAGGUCAAGUUCAUGAUCAAAUUUUUGAUUUUGGCUUGUUAUCUCUUAUUUCGUAACAUGUAAAUUUUACUUACGUAACAUUUAAUGCGAGUUUUGCCCCCUUUUAUAUCUAAUAUUAGUUGUAUGGUAAUAUAACUCAUUAACUCAUUAACAAUAUAAAGUAGAGGCCUAGAGUCUUUUGAUUUAAGGUCCUUGGUUGAUGACCUUGAAAUUGAGCUCAAGGUCAUAGGUAAAUUUAACGUUCUAGAUUUUGACCUUUGCUUUUUUCCUCUUAUAUAUACAUAUAAAGCCAUGGGACUUUUGGCAAAAGGUUGCAAGCAAUGUGACCUUGAAAAAUCCAACCGGAAGUGACCUUUUUGUAAACCGGAAGUAGCCGUUUUUUUGUACUAAUUUAAUGUAAAAGUAUAUAGAACCAUCUAUUUUUGGAAUCAGUGUCAAGUAAACUAUCAAAACAUACCGAAAGUAACAUCUUUUAAACCGGAAGUAAAAAAUGAUCUCCUUAUUUAUAUCUUUUUGUAUAGAAACCAUACAUUUUUGGAAUCAGUGUUCAAUAAGCUGUCAUUUGACGCUAAAAUUGACAUUUAAAACCGAAUUUUAAUAUUUUCAUAUAAAAAAGAUCUUUACUAGUGGAAAGACCAUCAAUGGUUCUCUGAACAAUUGGUUUUUAAUAUUGUUCUUACAUCUCUUCUGAAAAAAAAAUCCACAUGUUUGUUAUCAGUUAUACUCUGAAACUACAAGUCAGUUAAACUCUGCAACAUUCAGCAGCAUUUACAAAAGUACAUAAAAGUUUAUAAAACAUAUAAAAGUUUAUCAAGAUAUCUCUCAAGACUUUUAGAGAAAAGUUCUUAAAUUGCAAUACUCUGAAACUACAAGUCUAAACCCCAAAAUUGCAUUCAGCAGGGCAUACAUGCUAAUUUAUAAAACAACGUGGUGCAGAUAUCUCUCAAGACUUUUCCUAGAGAAAAGAAAUUGCAAUGCCGUAAAAAUCGCUUGCUAGGUCCGUAAAUCUCAGUGAAAUCCUACAAUAAAAUGUCCGCUCCUAGAUUGAAAUACUAAUCUGUGUUACAAACAGGUGCUGAAAAAUGUACAUUAUCAGAAAAUAAUCCUUAAAUGUGUAUUAAAGUUACACCGGAUCAAUUAAAUCCAAAACAUGCACUGCUGGUGAACUGUGAUCAAAAUGUCAAUUUCCUACAAUGACAAAAGAAAUGACAUUGUGUACAUUCCGUAUCUAUACAUGUUGUCUAUUCAACGUCCCCACCUAAAAAGGAAUAAAUAUACUAAGUUUUCGUUAUUAUAAACCCACGUCACGUGAUGUCUCCUCAAUCUGGUGCGAGAAGUCGCGCGCUGGACCUGAAAUAAAAUAAAAACUUUCCGAACUAAACAUGAAACUUCCCCAGAAUAAUAUAGACCCCUUACAGAAACAAACAAACAAACAAACACACACACACAUAACAAACAAUCAUGUUUCAAAGGGGGAAAGACCGUUUACAAUUGCUUUUUAAAAGCAAUUGAUUUAUAUUUAAUGUUUAGUUUUGUCCUUUCGUUUAAAUUUACAAUAAAAACUGAACGCAAUAAUUUUUUGAUCUUACAGUUAUCAUGAAAAUGACAUCAACAGUAUUAGAAAUAAUUAAAAUUUAAUAAAAAUGGAAGAAAACAACAUUAUCAGUUGAAAAAGCAUAAUAAUAUAUAUAGGUAAUGGUAAAUUCAAAAACAAAAAAAGCACAAAAGGGUCUGUGCAUCUCAUUUACUUGUUAAAAACAGAAAUGAUGAAAAACACCAAUAAUAGUUUCAGCAAUAUUUUGAAAUUUUCUAGUAUAUCUUGAGAUUGUGUUCUUAUUCUCAUUUCUUUUCAGAUUUAAAACAGUUCACUGUCAUCUGUAUCCCUACCUUUCUCAGUGUGUAGACAUGCCAAGAUGGUGACCAGUAUUAUAUAGUGUUCACCUAUACCUACUUGCUUCAGAUAUAACUAUAGUGCUGUUGCUGAAAUGCUGCUGCAAGACUUUAUAUUUAUACUAUAGAUUCAAGUCUUUUUGUAAAUGUAUCAUGCACAAGCAGAACAAUUUCAACGAGAUCAACAAAAGAUGAAAACUUUUUGAUACAUUUGUAAAUGAUAAAUUUUAUAAUCUGUGAUAUUGGCAUGAAAUGGUUGUAGUAGAUUAUAUUUUUAUAACUUGAAUUAAUGAAAAUUAUUGAUUUUGUAACUAUGUUUCAAAAGUGUUGCAAGUAUCUUUUUUUGUUAUGUUAUUUUUUGUUUUGGAAAAAAAGUCCCACUGAAUUUAUGUUAUUCAAGGGAGAUAAUUAUGUAAAUCCAAGUUAAAUUAAACCCAAAUAAUUUUUUAGACAACUGUAUUUUAUAGUUGUAAAACUGAGCUCUUAAGGUUUUAUGUUUUGCAAAAUUGCUGAUACAACAAAUGAUAAAAAAAGAAUUUCAGAAUAGAUGUUUGGUGCUUACAUGUGAAGUGCAAUUGAUUGAUAAGUUGGUUGUGUUCUGAUCUCAUUUAAAUUUUUAAAUUUUAUGUAAAAUUUCAUAUCACAUUCAUCAAAAUAAAGUUGUGACUAAAGUUUUAUAAUGAGAAAAUACAAUAUUUUUAUUGUGAAUUUGUCCUUUAUUUUAUUUUUCAUUAUAAUUUCCAUGACAGUUAACACUUUAUUAACUAAUAGCUGAUUUAUGAUUUCCUCUACCAGUUGAUUAUUUUUUUGUAAUCAGCACAUGGUUUGUUUUAUUUCAGUCCUCCAUUGUUCAAAAUUAAAUUUUAAAGUAAAAUUUUCUUGCUUUCCCCUGAUUUUGCUAUUGGAAUAUCAUGAAAAAAGGAUGACCUGUCUGAAAUAACUCUUUAUGCAGAUUAUUGAAAGCAAGAUAAAGUUUGUUUAAAAGUCAAUCUAGAAACAGAUUUUCUACUGAAUCAAUAUAUCUCUGAUCUCAUCAGUUUAACUGUUCAGAGUGGAAAAGUACUUUAUAGCUAUACUGUGUAUUUUUCCUUGGUCUUUCAAGCUUUAGUACUUUUCUCGGCCACAUCUCACUGUAGGGCUGUUGCCUUAGUUGAGAUUGUAGCUGAGAAUCUCUGUAUGGUUUGAAAACCCAUCAAUAAUAUAUAAGUAUCAAACUCAUUGCAGUGGUAGAAUCUAUAUUUUAACUUUCACAUGAGAUUAUCAUAUAUGAUGUGAUAACAUCAGAGAAAUAGACUAUGAAGGAAAGAUAACUCUUCUUAAAUGGCUUACUGGUGUGUGACUUUAUUGUCGUACUUGUUAAAUACUUGUUUACAAAUGUAGUAUUCGUUUGAUGUAUUUCUAAUAGACUGAACUUAUUUUUCUUAGAAAUUAAGGUUAGUGUCCUUUUUUUAGUAACUUUUAUUGCUAUAAACAUUUAUGUUGAUUUUUACUGUAUUAUAGUGACUAAAAUUAUAUAAGAUCAUUUAGUAGGUAUUAUUAUUUUUAUCUGUCAAUAUGUUAUAUGAAAUGCCUGUAGUAGAUAUUAUGUACAAAGGGUGGUUAUGUUCAAAUUAUAAUUUGUACAGAAUGGUUGUACAAGUUGUGUGUGUAUUGCAAAUUUCUUAACUGAAAUGGAUAAAAUAAACACACUCUCUCUGAUUUAAGCGUUUAUCAGUGUAAUAUAAACACGACUUGAUUCUACAGUCUUAUACAGAACAUUUAGGAUUUAUUAGGACACCAACAGAUAUUUGGUGGACUUAAAAUUUGGAAUAAGCAAAAUAUAACAAAUAGAAUCUAACACAAUCUGUUGUUAUCUUUGAAUCUGUUGUUAUCUUGAAUCUGUUGUUAUCUUUGAAUCUGUUGUUAUCUUUGUAGCUUUAUGCCAUAUAGGAUUACUCUGAGAUUUAAGUAUAAAAAAUAAUGAGUCAAAAACAAAGCUUGUUUAUUAUGAAAGAUCAACUUGUACCACCUGGGGAAAGAAGUCAAAAUACCGACAACUUGUACAAAAUUUCUGUGCAAAUUAUAGAGGGUACAUAACAUAUACACAAACAAUUGUAAAGUAAAGUAUUUUUGUUUAUGUUUGUAUUUUACAUAUGUUAAGAUAAAGUCUGGUUAAAUAAUAUAGAUUCUCCAAGUUAUGAAGUUUAUGUAUUAAGAAAUAUUUAAACUAGGGGUAGGAAGGCAUAAUUUGUCAAAGUUUACCGUACAUUAAGAUUGUAAUUGGUUAUUUAACCAUCUUUGCGUACCUCAAAGUUAAAUGUCAAGCCACACAUUAUAUACUUUAUAGAGGUGCCUCUAUAACUCCAGGUUUUAUCAUUUCUGAAAUAGCUUAAAACAGUAUUUGGGAGUAGCUUUAAAUGUAAUCACAGGUAAACUCUAUAAUAAACAUGGUAGCCUGUGUUUAAAAAUGUCCCCUCCCCCUAAAAUAGUGCACAAACAUUAAGAUGUUGAUUUUCAAAGUAGGUAACAUAAGAAUUUAUAUUUCAAUAUAGAUAAAAUAUAAAAUAUUUGUUAUUAUCUUUAUCAACUAAAUUUAACAAAUUUAUUAUUUAUAUUGUGCUAAUUCAAAUUCUGUUUUAUAAUAGUCACCAUAAAGCUAGCUUAUCACACAUACUCAGUAUUUUUAUGUUAUUAGACUUACCUGUCUUGCUUAUGAACUAUUCAGUAUUUUAGCAAAAUGUUAAUGCAGUUUGGAGAACUGUAAUUCAAUCAUUGACGUAGAUAUUGAUUUUAAAAUUAGCAAUAGAACAGAAAAUAUAUGAAGCUUGGCUGUCAAUCAAGAUAAAGUAUUCCCAUUUCAGUUGUUAUAUGUCUCGUCAAAUUCUGUCUCUUUGUUUCUAUCUUACACUUUAUCCCAAUGUCAACCAUUACCAAUAUGUUUCAGUAUUUUUCAUGUAAGAAUUUUCACCUAGAAAUAAUCAUCAAUAGACAAAAUGAUAGACUAUACAACUACACUGAAUGCUGAACAUGAGACAGCUUUGAUUUCUCCAUUUUAGAAUCUAUUCAAAUGCAUUCUGGGUAAUAUUUGUGAAAGCCUACCCCAAAAUGCUGUGAUUGGCAAAAUAGCAUCCCAAAAAAUUGAAAUUCAGCCAGUAAUGUGAUAUUAUUUUCAUUUUGGGGGUAUACACAAUGAAAUUACCAAGAACGAGGAAACUAGGCAGAACAAAGGCAGAAAUGGGCCCCUUGUUUAUUACUGUUUUCCAUGUAAUUGCUAAUGAGUUAAGUGGUAAAUUACACAAGAUUUGUUAUAAUCUGAUUGUUCUUGUGGUUCUUACUGGAACAGGCAAAUGCAUGCUUGUAGUUUAAAUUCACUGAAUUAUUAUUGCAUUUAUUUUUCUCAGCUUUUCAGUCUUCUUUUGGACACACAAAUUUUAGAUUUAUGUAUUUUUAAAUAGUAUGUAUAACUACUGUUACAGUGAUUUAUAUUCGGGUAAUUUUAUAGAGGAACUUCAGUAACUUAUUAUAAAUCAAUUUUUUAUUUACAGAUAAAUUUUGUUAGGUACUUGAUGAGUAGUUAAAAUAUAACAAAUUACUGAUGUUUCACGUUAAUUGAUUGUCAUAAAGAUGCCAUAAAGGUUGUGCACAAAUAGAUAUUAGAUCUGUAUAUAUGUAUUUAGUGUUUCAAUUCAGUGCCAUGAAAAAAGAAAUUUUUCAAAUAAUUGGAAAUUUGAAUAAAUAUGAUAAUGUUUGCAGGACAAAUUUUAAA